GGCGGUGUAACUCAGUCUGGUAGAGUAGCGGGGUCAUAAUCCGUUUGUCGCAGGUUCAAAUCCUGCCACCGUCACCA
rnacentral:tRNA from 1 species